rnacentral:rRNA from 1 species
GUUAGGAAUAUUGGACAAUGGGCGCAAGCCUGAUCCAGCCAUGCCGCGUGAGUGAUGAAGGCCUUCGGGUUGUAACGCUCUUUAGCCGAUGAUUAUAAUGACUGUAGUCGGAAAAUAAGCCCCGGCUAACUUCGUGCCAGCAGCCGCGGUAAUACGAAGGGGGCGAGCGUUAUUCGGAAUCACUGGGCGUAAAGCGUGCGUAGGCGGCUUUGCAAGUUGGGAGUGAAAGCCCAGGGCUCAACCCUGGAAUUGCUCUCAAAACUGCAAGGCUCGAAUUCGGGAGAGGAUAGCGGAAUUGUCAGUGUAGCAGUGAAAUGCGUAGAUAUUGACAGGAACACCAGUGGCGUAAGCGGCUAUCUGGACCGAUAUUGACGCUGAGGCACGAAAGCGUGGGGAUCAAACAGGAUUAGAUACCCGUGUAGUCC